AAAGUCGUAACAAGGUCUCCGUUGGUGAACCAGCGGAGGGAUCAUUACCGAAGUUACCUUCAAAACCCACUGUGAACCUUACCUCUUGCCGCGUUGUCUCGGCGGGAGGCGGUGGGCGUCGCGCGCCCUAGCGGGCCGUGCCGCUCCCGUCCCCGCCGGCGGCGCCAAACUCUAAAUGCACAGCGGACUGUACGUUCUGAUUUACAAAAACAAGUUAAAACUUUCAACAACGGAUCUCUUGGUUCUG
rnacentral:misc_RNA from 1 species